rnacentral:rRNA from 1 species
AGCUUAGAGAGCUUGCUUUUAAGCUUAGUGGCGAACGGGUGAGUAACGCGUGAGUAACCUGCCCUAGAGUGGGGGACAACAGUUGGAAACGACUGCUAAUACCGCAUAAGCCCACGGCUCGGCAUCGAGCAGAGGGAAAGGAGCAAUCCGCUUUGAGAUGGCCUCGCGUCCGAUUAGCUAGUUGGUGAGGUAACGGCCCACCAAGGCGACGAUUGGUAGCCGGACUGAGAGGUUGAUCGGCCACAUUGGGACUGAGACACGGCCCAGACUCC